rnacentral:lncRNA from 1 species
ACGCAAUGGCUCAAGGGUCAAGAUAAUUUUAUGACCAUCAAUCUUUUUGCAGCCACAUGCAGACUUGAAAAACUGGUCGUGGCCCUAAGGAACUUGAAAAUUAGAAAAGAUUCAGAAUGAUUGACUAAAUAUUAUAAUCGAAACUAAUUAAACAUACAUGCCUAGAAAAUCUAAAACUGAAUUUCUCAAAUGUAUAUGCCUCUUCGCAGCAAUUGCUUAUGGUGGAAACUUUACUGCAAAGACUUUCUCAAACCCUUGAAGAUCACACUCUACCUGAUAACAAAGAAACAGAGUCAAUAAACGAAGAUGAUUUUACUAACAAGUGAGAGCUUACACAUAAUAUCAUGCAAUAUAUAUUAGUACCUUAAUAUCAUGCAAUAAAAAUCAUCAUGCCUUCCAGGCAGCUAUCCAUCCUCAAUUGAAACAGAGCAGACCUGGCCAUCACUUUCUUCUUCAAAGUCCAGCAACUGAACGUUGCACACAACACCACAGUGGAAGUAGUUCCAUCACCAGCCUAAUCCUUGAUUACCCCAAUGUUCUCCAUAGGGUCUUCAAAGUCAACCUAAAAAUAAAAUGAAAAUGCAAUGCAUUAUUAUUAGGGAUCUAGUGCUUGAGCUUGCUUUGACAUCAUGGUAUUAGCAAAUUCUGAUAUAGCCAAAAUGGUGAAUAAGAUGAUGUACUUGAUAAGAAAAACCUGAUUUAACAAAUAAUUAAGAAGCCGGUAACAAUCACAUAAUCUCAUCAUGUGGGGAAUGCCUUGGCAACAGAAGAUGGUGCUUUCAUUCAAGCAAUAGCAACUUUCCAAUUUCAUAAGGUAGUUUAAUGGCCCUUUUAAGAACAUCUGUACCAGCCUAACAAUUAUUCAUGGAAAUUAAAAUUCAGAAUCAUAUUAGAUUGAGAGAUGAAAUAUAAUAAGCGAUUUGGCCACCAUAUAUGCAUUUAUCACCUUCAAUUUGCUCAUCUUUGUCUAGAGUAUUGCUUCUGCAUUAACUUAAUUAGCUUGCAAGCCACCUACAAAUGGUUUUAAAUUAUGUGUGAGAGUGUGAAUUCGAACGAAUGAAUCAAAUAUGCUGACAGGAGAAACAAAAGUAAAUAACCACAAGAAGUAGAAAUAUACUUUUGUUAUAUUCAGAGCAUCUUCUUGCGUCAAGUUCUUUUCCUUUAGCUCUGUUUCUGUUUGUGCUCAAACGCAAUGGCUCAAGGGUCAAGAUAAUUUUAUGACCAUCAAUCUUUUUGCAGCCACAUGCGGACUUGAAAAACAGGUCGUGGCCCUAAGGAACUUGAAAAUUAGAAAAGAUUCAUAAUGAGUGACUAAAUAUUAUAAUCGAAACUAAUUAAACAUACACGCCUAGAAAAUCUGAAACUGAACUUCUCAAAUGUAUAUGCCUCUUCGCAGCAAUUGCUUGUGG